rnacentral:rRNA from 1 species
GUCCACGCCCUAAACGAUGCUUACUUGCUGUUCCUCUUUCGGGGGGAGUGGCGUAGGGAAACCGAUAAGUAAGCCACCUGGGGAGUACGCCCGCAAGGGUGAAACUCAAAGGAAUUGACGGGGGUCCGCACAAGCGGUGAGCAUGUGGUUUAAUUCGAUGAUACGCGAGGAACCUUACCUGGGCUAGAAUGUAAUUGGAAUAUGGAUGAAAGUUCAUAGCCCUUCGGGGCCGGUUACAAGGUGCUGCAUGGCUGUCGU